GGGGUUUCACCAUGUUGGCCAGGCUGGUCUCGAACUCCUGACCUCAAGUGAUCUGCCCACCUCACCCUCCAAAAGUGCUGGGAUUACAGGUGUGAGCCACUGCACCUGCCGUGGUUUAGGGUUUUAACGUGGGCUUUCAUUUCCAAGUGUUCCUGUAUGAAUUACAACCCAGUCUCCCCAUGAUAGGGAGUGUGAGUCCCCGUAGAACCAGAACAACCGUCGUCCUUACCAAGCACUACACAUUAGCUUAUUGCUGGCUGUGUGACCGGAGGAGUUCCCUGACCCUCUCUGUGCCUGUUUUCUUAUUUUUAAACAGGAAUAAAAAUACAGGCCAGAGAGUCCGUGAAAUGCUUACACGCAUGCUAGAAGCUGGCUGUUUUUACUGGGGGCUCUAAUUUUGUGUGUUUGGAUUUCCUGGACCCCAGCUGACAGGAGUAUUUUCUCCCGCAGGCCAGCAGGUGUGGCCAGAGGAGCUGAUGGGCAGUAGUCUGUGCCGUCCGCAUGCAGCCCUGACCAUGGUGGCCAGGACCACGAAGCUGGUAGAGGCAGCCAGGGCUGCGUGGACAGAGCAGGCCUGGAGCCCUUGCCUGGUGGGCACCUGACUCUAAGCCAGGAGGCCUUUCCUCGUCCUGGAAGGCAGGUGGCCCCUCAAGCCCAGCUUCAACCUUGGGAGAACAUGCCAUGCUGGGUGAAUCCUCAGCGCACAUCCCAGACAGAAGACUGUGAGACCUCCUUUAUUAGGCCAAGAGUGGCCAUGUGCACAGAUUUACAGAGCUGCUCCUCCCUGUGCCAGGACCGCCCA
rnacentral:lncRNA from 10 species